GGUUGCGAUCAUGACCAGCACUAAUGCACCGGAUCCCAUCAGAACUCCGCAGUUAAGCGUGCUUGGGCGAGAGUAGUACUAGGAUGGGUGACCCCUGGGAAGUCCUCGUGUUGCAACCCC
rnacentral:rRNA from 1 species